rnacentral:lncRNA from 1 species
AUCUGUACUAUCAUCAACAAGUAUAUCUAUAUGGCACUGUUUACGAAUUGAAUCACAAUCCUUAACAGCCAUUCUUCGUAUCCGUAAAGGGGGUUUCUAUCCAGUAACUAAUGGUUUAGUAUAAGUAAUACUUUUAGAUAAUUCUCCAACAGAUAUUAAACUUUUUCUAUCAAAUAAAUGUUCAAUUAUUUCUUUUUCUUCUUGUACUAUUUGUUCAGUUGGUGGUGUUACCUCCGGUAGAUCUUUCUUCAAUUGAGUUGCUUUCACCAAGAGACUUGGUUUUGCUGGUUGGAUAGAACGCUUAUCACCUUCGUCACAACGCUUGCGUUUGUUUCGGUUCUUAUGUUCAAGAAUUUUCUCAGCUUCCAUUGCUCUUCUCUUCUCUAUUGGUAUGUAUUCUACAUAAUCUUUGUCGUCUUCUAUUUCUAUUUCUAUUUCAAUUGCUGAUUGUUUUCGGUUUACUGAUGUAUUCGACACUUCCAUCUUUUUCAGAUCUAUGAAUGCGGGAUUUAAAGCACUUGUGAUGACGGAAAGCAAUAGAGAAAGAGAGAUUGCACGACAAUUUUUUUCGGAUUUAUUCGAUUGAAUUGUUUUGGUUCUGGGACUCUUUAUACAGAGAAUCCACCGCUGGUAUCGCAGGGUUAGUUGGUUACGUUGUUUUUGGUAAAAAGAAUCCGGGUAAAUUUGCAUCGAGUCGGUUCGGGAUAUACAAGCGUUAAUGGGCUAAUUUUGAAUCAACUUUAGGCUUUUAGUUAUUAGCACUUUUUAGUCCCAUCCAAUAGAUGAUUCUCUACCACAAUUCCACUAUUUAGAAUUCAAAAACAUUUAUUAGAAGUAUAGAACUAUAACGAUCACUUUGAAUUGGAGUUUUUUUAAAUAAAAGCUUUCGGAUCAGUCGAUCGGAUAGUUGAUACAGUAUAUCAAAUUUAAUUUUUAACAAUUCUACUUCUAAUAAAUCAAUUACUUCAGAUUUUCCUACUUCUUCGAGUUUAAGGAAGAAAAAAGGGUAAUAGAGAGAGGGAAUUUUAAUCUAACCUCGAUCUAAAAAGUCCACCAAGAUACAAAGUGAAGUGUAAUUUGGUGAAGAGAUAGAGAAUGGAGGAAGGAGUUUUGUAGUUUUGCUUUAUAUGUUGUUGAUAUGAUAAGGAGUGCCAUUUUUUUUAUUGCCACGUGAACAAAGCCACGUUAGUUUGUAAAGAAAGUUUGUGAGAAAUCUCGGUCAACGUAGAAUGAUUCAAUAAAAAAUUAACUAAUCUUUUUUUUUUCCUCAAAUCUUUUUCUUUUUAUUAAAACUUCAUUUUAGAUUUUCUAUGAAAAAGAAAUAUAAAACGGCAUGACCUUAACGAAGAAAACAAUAGUCAAAAACUAAGAUUUGAAUAUAUUUUUAUGAUUCCAAUUAUAGAUGAAAGUAAACUUCUUGUUUAGAAAUAUUUUUGUUAUUUAAAUUUACAAGUGCCUUAGCCGAUGCGUAACACCGGUUAAUUUUAAUUUAUCUGUGUUUGAUUACCA